GCUGUUCUUCUCCCAAUAAGACCCUGUUCAUAUUCGACAUCCUCCAAGCAUCUAUUCCUAAGGGAAGAUAACACCAGUGAAGACCUCGAUAUGUUUCCUGGUUCCUCAGGUCCAGAUCUAAUGCCUCCUGUAAAAGUGCCAAGAUUAUACACCCAACUCUCUCUUUAAACAGUAAAAACAAAAAAUAAGAGUGACCUCCAUGACCUGUACAUUGCCUCUGCAAAGGGUACAGGUUGGGCCAACAGCCAAGCCCCACAAGCACUAGAGGUCGAUGUUUGGAACUGAUUGGGUCGGAAAGGGAUGCAGUCCAUGUCUGUUUCCGGUUCACAGAGGCCUCGACGUCACUACAUAGUUUGGAUGUCUGACUAGCUUCCUGACUUUGAGAGUCUCUUUCUUUAAACACGAGGGACCAACUCUGGAGAGGAAAGAGAAGACAACACGCAAGAGUCUGGCUCCCCUGGCAGCCACUCUCAGGAUGGCUCCUCUCGACGAGAUUUAAACAGAAUGAUGUGGAUAGUGUUCUGGGAGGAGGACGGAGUGCCCACACGCAUGCUCAGAGCCCCUUAGUAUGGAAGGCCACAACUAGGCAGCAUACGUUUUAGGAAGCCGCCUCUUCAUGACAUAGUGCUUCAAGUUUAGAAAACCCCUCUGAAGCUAAAUCAUCUCUACCCUGUGCCAAGAUGGAUGCAUUCCUGUUUUACACACGUGAGACAAACGUAAACACAACUAAAUUCCUUUCUAAAGGAGACAAACUGGCCAGAUCAUCAGGAGAAGGGAACUAAAGAAUUGCAGUGGAAAGAUAACCAUAGCAAGAUUCCAGGCCUGCUGGGACUGUCCCUUGCCCAGAGCUGCCCCAAAGCUCAGCAUACGUGUGUCUACACUUACGCCUUUGUUGAGUGCUCCUGACUUGGUCUUUCCACUCAUAAGUAUGCUAAUAGGAGGAACGAUAGAACUCCAGCUCCUUGCCUUCGAACACACAGCCGUCUGCUCCGCCACACUGGCCUGGUCCUGAGGCAACGCAGGCGAGAAGCUCGCCCUGCUGGAACUGCUCCUCCAGAAGACUGCUGAUUUUGGCAUUUUUUUCCCUUUCGUCGUAUUUCUUCUGAAUUUUCUUUGAUCGUUUUUUGUUUAAAAUCUCUUCCUCCUCAGGAGUCAGCUUGGCCCCCUUCUUGCGGCCCAGGGGCAGUGCAAUAGUGGGACCUGUACCACUGUCGGUACAGCGUGCUGUCAAUAAGCAUGAUGCAGUUCUUCACUAGGGUCUUGGUGUGGACACGCUCGUUGUUGGAUGCAUUGUAGACAACAUCAAUGAUCCUUGCUUUGCGAGUACAACACUCAGAGCCCCAGGAAAAGUUCCCCACAUCCAAUCUCAGGGCACGGUACUUCUUAUUGCCUCCUCGAACUCGGACUGUGUGUAUGCGGCGAGGGCCAAUCUUCGUGUUGGCAGCGGGCCGUCCCAGCUCAUACUUCCGCUUCUUGUGGUAGGGUUUUCGCUUACCCCCGGUCUUGCGGCGCUUGUGCCAGUUGUCCCGAGAGAUGCCCAUCGCUCGGCGCUGGCUGGAAAGAGAUUUACAGGGUUCUUAGUCACUAUCCACACUCCCACCUCAACUCUCCCCACACUUCAGCCAUUGCCUAAAACAUAUAUAGUGUGUCAAUUACUUGCUAAAUACUUCUGCAGUUUCUCAUUGCCUCCAAAUGCAGACAUUCUUCUGCUUUUCUUAGAUUUUUGCUUUUGAGACUGGAUUUCACUUUGUAGCCAAGGAAAUCCUUGAAUUCUACUGUUGCCUCAGCCACCUAAGGGUUAAGAAGACAGACAUGUACUAUUACUUCCAAAUUCAAACCCACAGUUUCAAUCAUUGCUUCAUCUGUCUUCUCACCAGAUUCUCUCUCCCACAUCCCCGCCAUAUAAACAAAGCAUAAACUCAAGGCCCAUCACAUUCUGAUGAGAGUUGCCUCCUCAGCUUCAUCUCUAACACCCUUCUGUAUCAUCCACAUCCAGGAAUACACUUAGCUGCUAAUGAUUGGCCUUUACAUGCUGGUUAAAAUUACAUAUCUCUUAACACUAUCAAUGAAACUAUCAUUUUCCAUCUCAACUCAACACAAUGUAUAUAUCUAGAUUAUUUCAAAGACCCCAUUGUAUGCUCCCUGUUUGUACAUCUAUCUUCUCAAUGGGAUAUACAAUAAGAAUCUUCCAAUUACUAGCAUAAUGUUUCUAUAUCAACAUAAGUACUUUCUUACAUCUGGGGAAGACUUCAGUCUCCAGAGACCACACACUCUUCCAAAUGUAUCUUUUCAUACAAGUGCCUGAUAGAUUUUUAGUCUACCCAGAUCCCAUGCUCCCUACUGUUAGAACAUUCUCUGAUUACCUAGACAUCAAGAACUUUUUCAAAAAGUCUGACUCUCAGUUCAGUGUCUACACGGCUCAUUUUCCAAUAUCUUCCUUCCCAAUCAUCUAACAGUCUUUGGUUGUUUGCAGAUAAAUGAGUUGAGGUUGUGUGUGCCAGCCUGACUGUGCAAGUACAUUCACAAAGUGACUAGGUUUGUAGGUCAUAAUCAGGUCUUGGAAGGGAAGAUAAAUAAAUAGGUUCAUUUCUCAGUCUGGGUCAUCCUGUGGUGGUAGGGUUCUAAAAUAGAACCUGGCUUUUCACAAAGGUAUGAAGGUAUGUUUAUAAUUGUGGUGUAAGAGGACAUACUUUGUAAUCUUCAACUCUGAAAUAUUUAGGUGCAUAUCUCAUUAACUUACAUUUGGGUCUUUAUAAAUGCUA
rnacentral:lncRNA from 1 species